rnacentral:misc_RNA from 1 species
GUUUGAUUAUGUUGAUUGGGAAUCGCAGCAUGAUUUAUAAUUUUUUAUGAGAAUAUGCUAAUGUAGUAGGCUUAAAUAUUUGGUUUUUUUUGCUUUUCUCCAACUUCAUAAGGUGAAACAACACAAUGGAGGCAAAGCAAAGUCGUAUAUUAAGGUCUUUUCAUAUGAUACGAAGGGUCGAUAUGAAAAUUGGUUCGAAUGGUUGGGUUGGAUUAGAUUAUUUAGGGUAUUUGUUAGGUUGAAUUGGG